UACGUAGGUGGCAAGCGAUACUCGGAAUCACUAGGCGUAAAGCGCAGGUAGGCGGUUCGGUAAGUCUUUUGUGAAAGCUCCUGGCUUAACUGGGAGAGGUCAAGGGAAACUACCGGACUAGAGUGUGGUAGGGGAUACUGGAAUUCCUGGUGUAGCGGUGAAAUGCGUAGAUAUCAGGAGGAAUACCUAUGGCGAAAGCAGGUAUCUGGGCCAUCACUGACGCUGAGCUGCGAAAGCUAGGGGAGCAAACAGG
rnacentral:rRNA from 1 species